GACGAACGCUGGCGGCGUGCUUACCACAUGCAAGUCGAAGGGUGAAAGCGGAGCUUGCUCCGCUGGAUCAGUGGCGAACGGGUGAGUAACACGUGGGCAACCUGCCCCUCACUUCGGGAUAACUCCGGGAAACCGGGGCUAACACCGGAUAUGACCUCCUUGGGCAUCCUUGGAGGUGGAAAGUUUUUGGGUGAGGGAUGGGCCCGCGGCCUAUCAGCUUGUUGGGGAGGUGGUGGCUCACCAAGGCGGCGGCGAGUAGCCGGCCUGAGAGGGCGGCCGGCCACACUGGGACUGAGACACGGCCCCGACUCCGCCGGGAGGCAGGAGUGGAGGAGAUUGCGCAGGGGGGGAAAGGCUGACGCAGCAACGCCGCGUGCGGGAUGACGGCCUUCGGGUUGUAAGCCGCUUUCAGCAGGGAAGAAGCCGCAAGGUGACGGUACCUGCAGAAGAAGCACCGGCUAACUACGUGCCAGCCGCCGCCGUAA
rnacentral:rRNA from 1 species